AACGAACGCUGGCGGCAUGCCUAACACAUGCAAGUCGAACGAGACCUUCGGGUCUAGUGGCGCACGGGUGCGUAACGCGUGGGAACCUGCCCUUAGGUUCGGAAUAACUCCCCGAAAGGGGUGCUAAUACCGGAUAAUGUCUUCGGACCAAAGAUUUAUCGCCUUUGGAUGGGCCCGCGUUGGAUUAGCUAGUUGGUAGGGUAAAAGCCUACCAAGGCGACGAUCCAUAGCUGGCCUGAGAGGAUGAUCAGCCACACUGGGACUGAGACACGGCCCAGACUCCUACGGGAGGCAGCAGUGGGGAAUAUUGGACAAUGGGCGAAAGCCUGAGCCAGCAAUGCCGCGUGAGUGAUGAAGGCCUUAGGGUUGUAAAGCUCUUUUACCCGGGAUGAUAAUGACAGUACCGGGAGAAUAAGCUCCGGCUAACUCCGUG
rnacentral:rRNA from 1 species